UACCGCUGCCGUGCAACGAAACUGUAGG
rnacentral:piRNA from 1 species